AAGACCUUGCGCUUUUGGAGCGGCCGAUGUCUGAUUAGCUAGUUGGUGGGGUAAUGGCCUACCAAAGCUUCGAUCAGUAGCUGGUCUGAGAGGACGACCAGCCACACUGGGACUGAGACACGGCCCAGACUCCUACGGGAGGCAGCAGUGGGGAAUUUUGGACAAUGGGCGCAAGCCUGAUCCAGCCAUGCCGCGUGAGUGAAGAAGGCCUUCGGGUUGUAAAGCUCUUUCAGCCGGGAAGAAAAGGCUACGACGAAUAAUCGUAGCUCAUGACGGUACCGGAAGAAGAAGCACCGGCUAACUACGUGCCAGCAGCCGCGGUAAUACGUAGGGUGCGAGCGUUAAUCGGAAUUACUGGGCAUAAAGGGUGCGCAGGCGGUUUUGUAAGUCAGAUGUGAAAUCCCCGGGCUUAACCUGGGAACU
rnacentral:rRNA from 1 species